CACGGGUGAGUAACACGUAUCCAACCUGCCGUCUACUCUUGGCCAGCCUUCUGAAAGGAAGAUUAAUCCAGGAUGGCAUCAUGAGUUCACAUGUCCGCAUGAUUAAAGGUAUUUUCCGGUAGACGAUGGGGAUGCGUUCCAUUAGAUAGUAGGCGGGGUAACGGCCCACCUAGUCAACGAUGGAUAGGGGUUCUGAGAGGAAGGCCCCCCACAUUGGAACUGAGACACGGUCCAA
rnacentral:rRNA from 1 species